rnacentral:tRNA from 9 species
CCCCGAGUAGCUCAGCUGGAAGAGCGUUCGGCUGUAAUGGAUACAACGUUACCGAAAGGCCACCUGUUCGAGCCAGGUCUCGGGGA